CAAGCGCUCUACCGCUGAGCCACAACCCCAGACCCUUGAAUACUUUUUUUAGCUCAAAUUUCUUUUCCUCUCCUUUCAGAUUUGGGUGGCAUACAAACUAGUUCUUUUUUGUACACACUCUGCUAAUUAUUUUCCAGCCUUUUUGUUCAGGUUGGGUGCUCCUGGUUCUGCAUUCUGCCCUGUUGAGAUUUGAGCCCAAGAGGAGGAGGGAGCCUCUGCCCAGCCCUCUGGAACCCACCCAACCAGCCAGCCUCUCUUACUGUUGCCGGAUCAUCUCCUGCACAAACUGGAUAUCGCUGGGGCAGUAACAGAUGAAGGCAUCAAAACGCUCAGGUACUUUCCCUGGGAGCAGAGCACAAGGUGAUGGUCAGAGCAACAAAGAAGUUGUGAAGGAAACCAGCCAAGAGUUCAUUGCCCAGGCAACCUAGUCCUGGACUCCACACCCAUCCCAAGAUGACAUGACUCAGAGAAAGUGCCUUUCUCAGGAGAGGACAGCGCCCGGAGCCAUCCCACAGGCUGCUGAGGCCUGAGAAAGUCAGCCUCCCACACCCUGGAUCCAAGGCCUCACCGAUGCUGGGCCGAAGCUCCACCAGCACG